CCUGUGUAUUAUUUGAGCUUGGAGUUGAGGUCACUGGCUGGUUAACGAACUCUCAAGUGUAGGUGGUAUGCUACAUGAAGGUCAAGUUUUUCGAUAACAUCACAGGGGUCUCUGGACCAAUGAGUGGAGUUUGAUCAUAAUUUUUGCUACCCCG
ensembl:snoRNA SNORA62 Small nucleolar RNA SNORA62/SNORA6 family